rnacentral:rRNA from 1 species
UACGUAGGGACCAAGCGUUGUUCGGAUUUACUGGGCGUAAAGGGCGCGUAGGCGGCCUGCUAAGUUGAACGUGAAAUCCCUGGGCUCAACCCAGGAACUGCGUCCAAGACUGGGAGGCUUGAAUCCGGGAGAGGGAUGCGGAAUUCCAGGUGUAGCGGUGAAAUGCGUAGAUAUCUGGAGGAACACCGGUGGCGAAGGCGGCAUCCUGGACCGGUAUUGACACUGAGGCGCGAAAGCCAGGGGAGCAAACGGG